rnacentral:rRNA from 6 species
UAGGGAAUCUUCCACAAUGGACGCAAGUCUGAUGGAGCAACGCCGCGUGAGUGAAGAAGGUUUUCGGAUCGUAAAGCUCUGUUGUUGGUGAAGAAGGAUAGAGGUAGUAACUGGCCUUUAUUUGACGGUAAUCAACCAGAAAGUCACGGCUAACUACGUGCCAGCAGCCGCGGUAAUACGUAGGUGGCAAGCGUUGUCCGGAUUUAUUGGGCGUAAAGCGAGCGCAGGCGGAAGAAUAAGUCUGAUGUGAAAGCCCUCGGCUUAACCGAGGAACUGCAUCGGAAACUGUUUUUCUUGAGUGCAGAAGAGGAGAGUGGAACUCCAUGUGUAGCGGUGGAAUGCGUAGAUAUAUGGAAGAACACCAGUGGCGAAGGCGACUCUCUGGUCUGCAACUGACGCUGAGGCUCGAAAGCAUGGGUAGCGAACAGG